ACUAAGGUUUUGUCUCACAGUUUAAAAAUAUAAAGACGACUUGAGCAAGUUAUUCAACGCAAAUAAAAAAGAAAGAAAAGCAUUGCAGUUAGUGAUGAGAUAUCUUCGGAUCUUCCUUAACCGGUCCUGCUCUUUGACGACUCAAUCUGGAAUGCCGCCAGCCGCCACCUUCCUCUCCGUUGUUGCCUGAUCGUCAGUUGUCUCUUCUCUCCUCUCUCAUGCUCAUCGAUUAUAUGAUCUUGAUUGUAAAUUGGAAUUGUGCGAAUUUGAUUUGGGGGGUUUCGUUUGGGUUUGUUUAGGUUGAUUUGGUUUUCGUUUGGGAUUUUCAGGGUUUUUGAUUACACUGUUUGUCUAGUACAAGACAACACUGUUGCGGUUCGCGAUGCAUCGUCGAGUUUCUUCCCUCCAAUUCGGUAAGUUCUUCUCUUAAAUCUUCCUCUGAACUUGCAUGAACUCUAAGUUUUCCAGUUGAAGUUCUUGGCCGUAAUUUGUGUUUUCUUUCUGGAAAUUUAGGGAAGAUCGAUUGUUUGUAUUGUAUGGUGCUCCAAUUGGUUUCAGUAGAGAACUUGAGAGGUCAUAUGCAAUUUUGUAAUUUUAGGGUUUAUGAACCAAUAAUGAAACUGUGAUUUGAUUCCUGAUUUUUUUAGUUCAAGCCAAGGAUGAGGUUGUUCACACAAUUAUGAAAUUUGUGAAGACCAGAUAUGUUUCAGGUACCUAAACCUGCAAUGGCUUGAUCGAUGAAGCAGGCCAAGAAGGGAUGGUGAAUUUCAGCUCCAAUUGUUUUGAAAUUGUAAAUGUUCAAGUUGGAUUUCCUCUCUGUGAUUGUUCUUUGGCAGAACUUGACCUAAAGUUAAAGAUUAAUACUGAUUUCAGGUUUGGGAAAUAGCACAUCGUGCACAAACACUAUGCAUAACUACACAGGUUUGUUUCUCUUCUUAAGUUUGUUUCUCCUUAAUCGACAUCAUUUGUUUUUCACAUCCUAGCUUUAGAUAAAACCAAAGGGAUUUCUUUUGCCUUUGUUAAGACCUUGAAUUCUACUCGAGGACCACUUCUAAAUGCUAUUGAAAUAAGUAUAUGCAUGUCGAUUGCUGCAU
rnacentral:lncRNA from 1 species